UAUUCCCAAAGCUGAGGAAAAGGAAACCAACGAUUGCCCUAGUAACGGCGAGUGAAGCGGCAACAGCUCAAAUUUGAAAUCUGGCUCUUUCAGAGUCCGAGUUGUAAUUUGCAGAGGGCGCUUUGGCUUUGGCAGCGGUCCAAGUUCCUUGGAACAGGACGUCACAGAGGGUGAGAAUCCCGUACGUGGUCGCUAGCUAUUGCCGUGUAAAGCCCCUUCGACGAGUCGAGUUGUUUGGGAAUGCAGCUCUAAAUGGGAGGUAAAUUUCUUCUAAAGCUAAAUAUUGGCCAGAGACCGAUAGCGCACAAGUAGAGUGAUCGAAAGAUGAAAAGCACUUUGGAAAGAGAGUCAAACAGCACGUGAAAUUGUUGAAAGGGAAGCGCUUGCAGCCAGACUUGCUUGCAGUUGCUCAUCCGGGCUUUUGCCCGGUGCACUCUUCUGCAGGCAGGCCAGCAUCAGUUUGGGCGGUGGGAUAAAGGUCUCUGUCAUGUACCUCUCUUCGGGGAGGCCUUAUAGGGGAGGCGACAUACCACCAGCCUAGACUGAGGUCCGCGCAUCUGCUAGGAUGCUGGCGUAAUGGCUGUAAGCGGCCCGUCUUGAACACCC
rnacentral:rRNA from 1 species